CAGUAGCCGCGGUAAAACAGAGGGUGCGAGCGUUAAUCGGAUUUACUGGGCGUAAAGCGUGCGUAGGCGGCUUCUUAAGUCGGAUGUGAAAUCCCUGAGCUUAACUUAGGAAUUGCAUUCGAUACUGGGAAGCUAGAGUAUGGGAGAGGAUGGUAGAAUUCCAGGUGUAGCGGUGAAAUGCGUAGAGAUCUGGAGUAAUACCGAUGGCGAAGGCAGCCAUCUGGCCUAAUACUGACGCUGAGGUACGAAAGCAUGGGGAGCAAACAGGAUUAGAUACCCCAGUAGUCCCUGUCUCUUAUAA
rnacentral:rRNA from 1 species